ACCUGCAAGAAACAGAAAUUCUUUGGCUGAUAAGCCCCUGCCCCCCAAUAUUGUGUGGACUAUGGAAACCUCCCUGAGAUUCAGUAAUCCAUGAUUAAAUUUAAUGAACACAUGAAUCCCCUGGGGAUCUUGUUAAAAGGCAGAUUCAGAUUCAGCAGGUCUAGGAUGGAGGGAAGAAGACAGGAAGCAGAUUUCCACCUCUACUCUUGAGCCUCCCUCUUAAAUGAUGCUUGGGGCAACAACCCUUCAAAAUUAGGAAACACUGGGAUAACCAUAGUCCAUAUGGCCAGAAUAUACAGAAUUCAAAUUUCUGUCCCUGCUAUUGACUGAUACAGUCAUUUUGAAUAUUACAAUUUCCCUCUGUUUUUAGAGGAAAUCAAAUAUUGCAUAAUAAACUGCAGUGCAAACAAAAUGCUGUUAUGCUUCUCAACAAUUAUAAAU